UUGGUGGGCAGUGGCCUUUCAGACCCUUACCUGUCCUUUGCAGCAGCCAUGAACGGGCUGGCAGGGCCUCUCCAUGGACUGGCAAAUCAGGAAGUGCUUGUCUGGCUAACACAGCUGCAGAAGGAAGUUGGCAAAGAUGUGUCAGAUGAGAAGUUAUGAGACUACAUCUGGAACACACUCAACUCAGGACGGGCUGUUCCAGGCUAUGGCCAUGCAGUACUAAGGAAGACUGAUCCACGAUAUACCUGUCAGCGAGAGUUUGCUCUGAAACACCUGCCUAAUGACCCCAUGUUUAAGUUGGUUGCUCAGCUAUGCAAGAUUGUGCCCAAUGUCCUCUUAGAGCAGGGUAAGGCCAAGAAUCCUUGGCCCAAUGUAGAUGCUCACAGUGGGGUGCUGCUCCAGUAUUAUGGCAUGAUGGAGAUGAAUUACUACACAGUCCUGUUUGGGGUGUCACGAGCAUUGGGUGUACUGGCACAGCUCAUCUGGAGCCGAGCCUUAGGCUUCCCUCUAGAAAGGCCCAAGUCCAUGAGCACAGAGGGUCUGAUGAAGUUUGUGGACUCUAAGUCAGGGUAAAACUGGAGACUGGGGGAAAGUGACUACCAGAAAGUGAGGAAGCCUAAAUAAAAAGUAUACUUUUGUUUCAGGGGGCCUUUAAAGACUUAAGAUUAAAUUAUAUCUGAGGCACUGAUAAUAUGUUUGAGGUUAAAAUAUAAAUUAAGACUUUAAAAGAUGAAAAAUGGUCCCUUCUUCCCUAAUCAGCUCCUUUCCCCUGCCUGGUAUGAGUUGCCCAUCACAGGCAUGGUCCUGGAGGAUGACCAGGACUAAUGCAUGUGGUAUGAGUAGGUUUGGCCCCCUCACUAUCUCUAGAGUGAGAAUCUGGCUCCUGUUUCCAUGGCUCAAAGCCGGUUGCAGAGAAUCUGCAGUCACUUCGGAGCUUUAGCUUCUUCUCUGCCAAGCCCUCAAUAAGCCAGCAAACCAGGACUCUGCCCCUUCUGUUUCCAUAGGAAUCAUGUUGGAUAGUCAGCUGUACCAAGCCCCUUGGCCUUCCCAUGCACACAAACACCUCCUAGCAAGACCUGUUGGUUAGCUGGACAUGCUUUGGCAAUUUUUUUAUACUGCCAAGUGACCAUAAAGGCAUGGCAUUUGUUGUGACUGGCACCCAAUGUUUGAUUUUUUUUUUAAACUAUCCAAUUAAAAUUAAGGUCUGGGAGUGUUCUGUUUCCCAUUACUUUAAUACUCACCCCCCUCCCAGACUUUCUACACCUGUUUCACCUCAGGCUGAGGAUGUUCUGGACCUCCCCCUCUUAGUCCCUACUAGAGACCUCUCAACAGAUCUGUGGGCCCAGUCAUUGGGUUUUAUCAGUGCUUAAUGUGAACUAAGUUUUUUACUUCCAACAGAAUACAAGCCACUACCUUCUGACCUCCCCACCCCCCACCAACCCCCAGCUUUUAAUAUGCUGUGGGGC
rnacentral:lncRNA from 1 species